AUUGAACGCUGGCGGCAGGCCUAACACAUGCAAGUCGAGCGGCAGCGGGUCCUUCGGGAUGUCGGCGAGCGGCGGGACGGGUGAGGAAUACAUCGGAAUCUGCCCUGUCGUGGGGGAUAACCUAGGGAGACUUAGGCUAAUACCGCAUACGACCUACGGGUGAAAGCGGGGAGUCGCAAGACCUCGCGCGACAGGAUGAGCCGAUGUCCGAUUAGCUAGUUGGCGGGGUAAAGGCCCACCAAGGCGACGAUCGGUAGCUGGUCUGAGAGGAUGAUCAGCCACACUGGGACUGAGACACGGCCCAG
rnacentral:rRNA from 1 species